AAAAAUCGAGGGGAAGAGGAGAGGGCUUGGAGGCAGCAUGUGGGGAGAGGUCAACCUCUAAAGUGCCAGCUCUCCAGAAAUGCAGCCGGAAUGAAGGCUUUAUUUGAGGAGCCUGGCAGUCCUAUAAGGGGAAACCCACCUAUUACUUCAAGCAAAGCUGAUGCAGAGAGAUGAGCCAAUUGAGCAGGAGACAAUGUAAGCAGCUGUGGGGGUGUCGAGUACUCCCUCCUGCCUGUGGGAGCUGCACCGUGGAGUCUAGCUUGUCACCCUCCGGAGGCAGAGCCCCUCCUCCCUGCCUCCUCUUGGUCUAGAUGGACAGCCAUGGCAGCGGAGGCUGCAGAGCUGAGCAGGUGAUACUGGGCAGCGACCCUGCUGCGGGCAGCGUCCACACCCCACAGCUCUUUACUGCAUUUAUUUAACAAGCGACAUUGAGCCAGCAAUCUCUGCUGAAAAGUGCUCAGCCCUGGAGAGAGAACUGUGAACAACGUGGACACAGCUCCUGCUUUGUGGAGCUUGGUGUCUGACUGGGGUAAAAAUAAACAAGCAGUUACAACAC
rnacentral:lncRNA from 1 species